UACGUAGGUGGCGAGCGUUGUCCGGAUUUACUGGGCGUAAAGAGCGCGCAGGCGGUCGUGCAAGUCGCGUGUGAAAGCCCCCGGCUCAACUGGGGAGGGUCACGCGAUACUGCUCGACUUGAAGGCAGGAGAGGGAAGUGGAAUUCCCGGUGUAGUGGUGAAAUGCGCAGAUAUCAGGAAGAACACCAAUGGCGAAGGCAGCUCUCUGGGACGGUACUGACGCUGAGACGCGAAAGCGUGGGGAGCGAACAGG
rnacentral:rRNA from 1 species